rnacentral:tmRNA from 1 species
AUAUAGGUUAAGUUGGCAAGGAAAGCAGCCUGCCUAACCCGAACACAAUGCUUUCUCUAAACAUGUAGAAAGCGUGACCAUUGCACUUCCGGACCAGGGUUCGAAUCCCUGCAGCUCCACUA